rnacentral:rRNA from 1 species
GUACACUCCUACGGGAGGCAGCAGUGGGGAAUAUUGCACAAUGGGCGCAAGCCUGAUGCAGCCAUGCCGCGUGUAUGAAGAAGGCCUUCGGGUUGUAAAGUACUUUCAGCGGGGAGGAAGGCGAUAAGGUUAAUAACCUUGUCGAUUGACGUUACCCGCAGAAGAAGCACCGGCUAACUCCGUGCCAGCAGCCGCGGUAAUACGGAGGGUGCAAGCGUUAAUCGGAAUUACUGGGCGUAAAGCGCACGCAGGCGGUCUGUCAAGUCGGAUGUGAAAUCCCCAGGCUCAACCUGGGAACUGCAUUCGAAACUGGCAGGCUAGAGUCUUGUAGAGGGGGGUAGAAUUCCAGGUGUAGCGGUGAAAUGCGUAGAGAUCUGGAGGAAUACCGGUGGCGAAGGCGGCCCCCUGGACAAAGACUGACGCUCAGGUGCGAAAGCGUGGGGAGCAAACAGGAUUAGAAACCCGAGUAGUCCCAUG